UACGUAGGUCCCGAGCGUUGUCCGGAUUUAUUGGGCGUAAAGGGUGAGUAGGCGGCAUGGUAAGCCAGAUGUGAAAGCCUUGGGCUUAACCCGAGGAUUGCAUUUGGAACUAUCAAGCUAGAGUACAGGAGAGGAAAGCGGAAUUCCUAGUGUAGCGGUGAAAUGCGUAGAUAUUAGGAAGAACACCAGUGGCGAAGGCGGCUUUCUGGACUGAAACUGACGCUGAGGCACGAAAGCGUGGGGAGCGAACAGG
rnacentral:rRNA from 1 species